rnacentral:rRNA from 1 species
GACGAACGCUGGCGGCGUGCCUAAUACAUGCAAGUAGAACGCUGAAGAGAGGAGCUUGCUCUUCUUGGAUGAGUUGCGAACGGGUGAGUAACGCGUAGGUAACCGGCCUUGUAGCGGGGGAUAACUAUUGGAAACGAUAGCUAAUACCGCAUAACAAUGAAUGACACAUGUCAUUUAUUUGAAAGGGGCAAUUGCUCCACUACAAGAUGGACCUGCGUUGUAUUAGCUAGUAGGUGAGGUAACGGCUCACCUAGGCGACGAUACAUAGCCUACCUGAGGGGGUGGAUGGGUCACACGGGAAUGGGGAAACGGCCCAGACCCCAACGGGGGGAACCAGAGGGGAAUUUUGGACAUUGGGCGAAAGCUUGACGCAGAAAGGCGGGGUGGGGGAGGAGGGUUUCGGAACGGUAAACCCUGUUGUGAUGGGAGGAAGGGUGGGAAGGUGAAAAGUUCAUGCUGUGACGGUAGCUUAAGAGAAAGCAACGGCUAACUACGUG